rnacentral:rRNA from 1 species
UACGUAGGGUGCGAGCGUUAAUCGGAAUUACUGGGCGUAAAGCGUGCGCAGGCGGUCUGUUAAGACAGAUGUGAAAUCCCCGGGCUUAACCUGGGAACUGCAUUUGUGACUGGCAGGCUAGAGUAUGGCAGAGGGGGGUAGAAUUCCACGUGUAGCAGUGAAAUGCGUAGAGAUGUGGAGGAAUACCGAUGGCGAAGGCAGCCCCCUGGGCCAAUACUGACGCUCAUGGCACGAAAGCGUGGGGAGCAAACAGG